CCAAUAGCGUAUAUUAAAGUUGUUGCAGUUAAAAAGCUCGUAGUUGAAUUUCGGGAUCAAUAUGCUGGUCGUGCCAUUGGUACGUACUAGUAUUAUUGGUUUCUUCCUUCUGAUGAAUCAUGAUGUCAUUAAGUUGAUGUCAUGGGGAAUCAGGACUGUUACUUUGAAAAAAUUAGAGUGUUUAAAGCAGGCUCGCGCUUGAAUACAUUAGCAUGGAAUAAUGAAAUAGGACGUUUGAUUCUAUUUUGUUGGUUUCUAGGAUUGACGUAAUGAUUAAUAGGGUUAGUUGGGGGCAUUAGUAUUCAAUUGUCAGAGGUGAAAUUCUUGGAUUUAUUGAAGACUAACUACUGCGAAAGCAUUUGCCAAGGAUGUUUUCAUUAAUCAAGAACGAAAGUUAGGGGAUCGAAGACGAUCAGAUACCGUCGUAGUCUUAACCAUAAACUAUGCCGACUAGGGAUCGGAUGAUGUUAAUUUUUUAAUGACUCAUUCGGCGCCUUACG
rnacentral:rRNA from 1 species